rnacentral:lncRNA from 1 species
ACUUUAAUUAUCCCCUUUCUUCUUUCUUACUAAUUCUUGAUUUUUAUUUUGGUAUUAUUUGAUCAGGAAUCGAAGAGAAAAUCUGGGGCGAUCAAAAAAAGGAACUAUUGGAAAAGGAAUACGGUAAAGGUUUGCUUUAAAAAUUGCUGGAAAAAUUUCCUUUGGUAAUAUCUGAACCUUUCUUAUUUAAAUUGAUUCCCAAUUAGCCUGAAAUAUUGUGGUGAUUGUUUGAUUUUAAUUUCAAUAAAAGUGUGAAUGCAUGCUUGAUACACAUACACCAAUUAAUCCGCACAUAGUAAGGGCAAUCACCCC